GAUGAAGAACGUAGCGAAAUGCGAUACGUAAUGUGAAUUGCAAAUUCAGUGAAUCAUCGAGUCUUUGAACGCACAUUGCGCCCCCUGGUAUUCCGGGGGGCAUGCCUGUCCGAGCGUCAUUGCUGCCCUCAAGCACGGCUUGUGUGUUGGGCCCCGUCCUCCGAUUCCGGGGGACGGGCCCGAAAGGCAGCGGCGGCACCGCGUCCGGUCCUCGAGCGUAUGGGGCUUUGUCACCCGCUCUGUAGGCCCGGCCGGCGCUUGCCGAUCAACCCAAAUUUUUAUCCAGGUUGACCUCGGAUCAGGUAGGGAUACCCGCUGAACUUAAGCAUAUCAAUAAGCGGAG
rnacentral:misc_RNA from 1 species